GAUGAACGCUGGCGGCAGGCCUAAUACAUGCAAGUCGAACGGGAUCUGAAGUAGCAAUACUUUGGUGAGAGUGGCGCACGGGUGCGUAACACGUAUGCAACCUACCUUUAACCGGGACACAACCCUCCGAAAGGGGGGCUAAUAUUCCAUGUGAUUAUUUUGUGGCAUCAUAAGAUAAUUAAAGAUUCAUUGGUUAAAGAUGGGCAUGCGUCCCAUUAGCUAGUUGGUGAGGUAACGGCCCACCAAGGCUAUGAUGGGUAGGGGUUCUGAGAGGAUAUACCCCCACACUGGUACUGAGACACGGACCAGACUCCUACGGGAGGCAGCAGUAAGGAAUAUUGGUCAAUGGGCGGAAGCCUGAACCAGCCAUGCCGCGUGCAGGAAGACGGCCCUAUGGGUUGUAAACUGCUUUUGUCAGGGGAUAAACCUAUCUACGUGUAGAUAGCUGAAGGUACCUGAAGAAUAAGGAUCGGCUAACUCCGUGCCAGCAGCCGCGGUAAUACGGAGGAUCCGAGCGUUAUCCGGAUU
rnacentral:rRNA from 1 species